ensembl:lncRNA novel transcript
AUCCAGGAUAGUCCUGGAAAUGAUCUUGAUGCUAUCUGUUCCUCGUUACAGCAGACCUGCUCAACUUCAGCAGCUAGAAGGAGGAUUGUCUUUCACCAGCUGCAGGAGCCUGUUCCCACUACAAGCCUGGUGGAGUCUUCGGAGCAGAUGUGACUGUCCUACUUGUAUAGAGAAGAGAAACUGAGGCUCAGAAGAGAUGCCUGGCUGAGUUUAAUAGGACUGCAACAACAAUUUUGCCUUUCUACUUUCUGCUCACCGAAGAAGACAGGAAAACUUGUCAGAUGGGGAAGGAUGUGUCAAGAGCAUGCACACAGAUUUACUCUUCAGCUAGAAGCUCCAAUUCCUAGAUGAUCUGAAUCCAACUCAGAGUGCUUGCACCUGUUUCCUGCCACACAGCUAGAGCUGUCCAGUGAGAGAGACAUGAUGGCCCAGCUUGAAAAAGAAAUUGAGGAUAGCAAGUGUAACAUACCAAGCAUUCCACGAGCAGAAGUGCCUUUCAUGUCCCACCAUGAUUCUGAGGACCCCCCCAGCCAUAUGGAACUUGUCCCUCUAGGUUCUCUGAUUGGCUGAAGCUACUCUAAGCCAAGAGAUCAAAGAAGCUGAUAAUGUAGAAUGUAAGUUUGUCUCCUGGGCCACAAUGGAAAGCAGAGACUGUAGCUGGAGGAGUGAAUAGAGGAUAUGCAGCUCUGGUAAUUCUCAGUACAAUUCCCAGUGGUCCACUCUGCAGAAUGAACCAAGUUCCAUUUUGCCCAACUUCUGGCAGUCCACAUUUGGACUGUGAGCUCACCUACAGAUAAAUCGUACGUGGAUUGAUGCAGUAACUGGAUUUGUAGCUGCUAAAUCUUAUUUAAGUGAGGACCUGUCCAGUACAUGUGAAGACCACCCAUCCACUGAAAGUGAUAAGUGAAGCUGAAUCAAUACUAGACUGAAUCAAUACUGAGCUGAAUCAAUACUUUCCCAAUUUUGAGGAAAUCUUGGAAAAUCUCUGAGAAAUGUGGUAGUAAUUAUUUUGAAGAAUUGGAAAACUUUAUAGCUGAUUAUGCUAUGUGUGGAAGAUACAACAGGAUUAUAAGAGAGAGAAGACAAUAUCCUUGCUGUGUCCAGAAGGCUUUAGCCGGGGUGUCCUACUGAGAGAUGACAAACUUAAGGUUUUUCUCUUCCCAGACAUUACUGGACAACUAGCUAUGUAAUUAGGUCUUAUGCCGAAAAGACUGAAAGGAAAACAUCUCAGAUCUAGGAAUGUGAUCAAGAAAGAAGGCUGGUUAAAGAAUAACAUGGGGAAAAUGAAUGCAGUGAAAUGGUUCACGCACAAGUUCUAGGAAUUCAGAGUGCAACAGCAGAAAUGCGAUUUUUGUUAGAUAUUUCAGAAAGUGAUGUGAGUCCCUGAGGUCAUACUGCAGCGUUCAGGUUCUGUUUGGCCUCCUGCACGAAGCUUUCCUUGAUUGGAAAAGCUGCAUACUCUGAAGCACAUCGCAUGUGUCCUGUCUGUAGUUCAUUUCAUUUCCCCAGAUUUGUUAUCAUCCACCAUCACUCAUACAAGCCUACCUUCUUCAUGCCAACCUUUGUAAUCUUUCUACCUUGCUAACCUGGUCAUGUCAAGGACCAGCUAAUAAAUAGCAAAGUUGUACCUUGAGCCAAGGUAUCUUGACUCUUAGUCCAGUGCUCUUUAUAUACCUCUGAAGUCUUAUUUGAGCUUCAAAAUUAUGAGUCUGUGCUCUCAAGAUUUUUUUGAAAAUGUACUUAAUGUUGCCCCUAAGCUUUUAUGAGAAAUAAUAAAGUUCUUUCCAGAUUGAAUAUCUAAU